UGCGUAGGUGGCGCUGCAAGUCAGAUGUGAAAUCCCCGGGCUUAACUCGGGGGGUGCAUUUGAAACUGCGGUGCUUGAGUGCAGGAGAGGAAAGCGGAAUUCCUAGUGUAGCGGUGAAAUGCGUAGAUAUUAGGAAGAACACCAGUGGCGAAGGCGGCUUUCUGGACUGUAACUGACGCUGAUGCACGAAAGCGUGGGGAGCAAACAG
rnacentral:rRNA from 1 species